GGUUAGAAAGUUUCAUAGCUCAGUGGUAGAGCAUUUGCCCUCAUGCAGAGGGUCCCUGGUUCAAUCCCCAGCAUCUCUAGGCA